rnacentral:rRNA from 1 species
AGUGAACGCUGGCGGCAGGCCUAACACAUGCAAGUCGAACGGCAGCACAGUGGAGCUUGCUCCAUGGGUGGCGAGUGGCGGACGGGCGAGGAAUACAUCGGAAUCUGCCCAGUCGUGGGGGAUAACAUAGGGAAACUUAUGCUAAUACCGCAUAAGACCUACGGGUGAAAGCGGGGGAUCGCAAGACCUCGCGAGAAUGGAUGAGCCGGUGUCCGAUUAGCUAGUUGGCGGGGUAAUGGCCCACCAAGGCGACGAUCGGUAGCUGGUCUGAGAGGAUGAUCAGCCACACUGGAACUGAGACACGGUCCAGACUCCUACGGGAGGCAGCAGUGGGGAAUAUUGGACAAUGGGCGAAAGCCUGAUCCAGCCAUGCCGCGUGGGUGAAGAAGGCCUUCGGGUUGUAAAGCCCUUUUGUCCGGAAAGAAACGCCUCGGAUUAAUACUCUGGGGUAAUGACGGUACCGGAAGAAUAAGCACCGGCUAACUUCGUGCCAGCCGCCGCAGUAA